CUGACGUGUGCUGCACCUGUCAUGAGGAAGGCAGCAACUGAAAAGUAUCAGGAAACCACAUUAUGUUAAAUCUUUCCAACAGUGAGUGAUUAACUCAGUCCAUGAUACUGAAUCAUUUUAUAAAACUGUGAUGAUUUUGAAACUGUAGAAAGAAAUUCCAAUGGAAUAUACACACAAACUCCUGGCAGUCAGAGAAGUGCUAACAGCUCAUGGAGCUGCCCUUCACAAAUCUGGAAGUAGCUUUCAUCUUGUUGGCUUUUGUCAUUUUCUCUUUGUUUACCCUGGCUUCUAUCUACACUGACCCCCAAGACAACAAUGCAGAGGAAUCCUUCACACAGGAAGUGUACAAGAAAAGGAGCAAGUCCAGCAAGAAAAAAACGCAUGCAAGUGUGACUGAAGUGAUUUAGAAUAAGAAAUACUACUCAGACUGACUGUUAGACAAACUUCUGAAAAGGUAGCUUUGGGAGCUGGUCACCUGAAGCCAGUGAGAUAAAGGAUAUGAGAAAGGAAGGACCCGGUCAUCCAUCAGAUGGAAUUCAGACGUGAUAGUUGGAGUUAAUGAACCACGACACACAAAGCAGCUUCAGCACCUUUUUACAACCCCACUUCAUGGCCUUCAUAAAACUAUCAGGGCUUUUUUCACAUAGCAUCUCUGCUCUAAAUUCUAAAAGGAGAAACUUUAAAUUCUGAGGUUACAUUUGGUUUCUUCCCUGCUUUUCAAUCAUGUAUAAAGUGUAUUUAAUAGCUAUGUAUUUACUUUUCUAUCUAUUAAGUCAACAGAACAUAGAAAGAUAAAUUUUCUACAGAGAGACUAUAGAGCAUUACUAUAGUAAUUUUUUGAUUUACGUGAACACUAAUAAACUGCUGAAGCUGACUGGAAAUUAACAGGCAAACACUUUUUAAAAACUCUCCAGUAUAUUGACAGCUAUGUUCAAGCAUUGUUUUAGCUCUCAGAUAAGUAGAGAAUUUAUAUAACACUUUGAAAACAAAAAGCUGAUUUGCUCUUUUAAAAGGUGCCUAACUCAACCUUGAUAUUUAAGUCCUCCACUUCUUCAUAGAUCAGGUACAGCCAAUGGAACAAUGCCUCUUUCUCCCCAAGAUGUGCUGAACUUCUCACCUUCAGGCUGGAGCUGAUUUUACUUGACUCAUGGACAAAACAUUUCUGCAGUUUUUUGAUCCUACCCAUCUCCUCUAGGUCUGAAGCACUAGUAGUAUACCAGCAAUAAUCCUGCUUCUUCUGUCCAUAAGUAGAAAGAAGCAAGAGGAAAGACAAAGUAGUACAUAGACUAAUUCUUAGAAGACUCAGAGACGCUGUCUCACUACCAGCUGCGUCAUGAUUCCCUCUUCUCACCAACUUAAAAAGUGAUCGGCUAUAUCCUGUUUCUGGGCAAGGCAGAGGCAUCUCAACAACUGGUACCCCUCUAAUUCUGAACCGAAGGAAAAGCUUCAUUCAGAAGUAUGUGUCCAGCUUGGUGUUGCACAUGACUCCUGUAUGUGCAGGACAUCAUCAGGAGUCAGAAGCCAUUGGCCCUCAAGGGAAGUGGCUCAGAUUUUUGUUCUCACUAAGGAAUGUGUUUACUCACACAUUCUACUUUUCUCUCCUACUUUCUGUAUUGUUUAUUCUUUACUAAUACUGAACCUUGUUCAUGUUGUAAUAUUAGAAAUUGCUAUCACUGGCAUUGAAUUCCUUUCUUACGGUAAAAUCACUUUUCAAUUAAAAAAGGAUAUUGCUGUCUUCUAUAUUUUGAGUAUGGGCAAACCUAUGUUGACAAAUUAAAUGCAACCCAAGUCUUUGCUUAAGGAGCUUCAACUUUUUUUAAAGAUUCAGUACUUUCAUUUCUCUAAAGAGAUGAUCAGAAGAAAGGGAAGGAAAAAGUAUAAUAAUAAAAUGCCUUAUAUGAAGUUAAUUUGUCUGACUGUGCUGUAGGUGAAUGCUAAAGGUAUAUUAUAACAUAUUUCCCUAUCUUAAUUAACAGAUUAAAUAAUAAACAUUUCAUUUUAUUCUAGCAUGCUUCCUCAACGCAAAAACUCUCAGACUAUUUAAAACAUCUUGGUGAUAAAAAUGUCUGAAAACUGUCUCUCCCUGUACACACAGUAUUGCUAAGGCAACUCGAGUUUUAUCUUUUCUUUUGCUAUGUUAACUUGCCAAGAGCUCACUCAAUGUUAGCCGUAUUGAAAACACAGUUAAACAAGUGAAAUAAAAUAAAAUAGGGAAUUAAUUUAAAAAUUAUGAAAAUAUAGAGUGUUAGCUGGAGAUGUCUUCUGCUUUGCUUAAACAUCAAAUUUUUUUUAAGUAUGUAUUCAGAGAAGUCUUAUAACAUAUAACAUAGUGAAUAAACUUUCCACAGAUCAGGUAAGUGACAUUUUAAAGAUCCAUUAUUUCAAUAAUUUCCUUCAAUCCAGUGGUACUUCAGUAAAGAAAGAACAUAUAAUAUAACAUGAGAAAUAAUUGCUUUAUCUUCAGGUGUCAUAUCAAAAUAUGUAGUGGGAGUUCUCCAUGUAAACAAAGUUUUCUAGGGGAAAACAUUACUGCAUAUUUGUGGUUUUAUGAGUUGUUUACAAGUUGUUCUGUAAUGAAUAAAACUGAUGAAGCAAAGUUUUCCAGCUGUAGAGAAGCCAGGUAAAGACCCUGGCAUUACACAAAUUUUUCUGUAAUGUAAAUCCAAUCCUAUUGAAAUCAGGAAGCUUUCUAUAGUUGAAUUCAGUUAGAGGACAACUUAGACUUAAUAGCCCAUUCCUACUCAUGGCACAAGUUAUGGAAGAGGAACUGUCACUUUGGGAGGGACUUGUUUAAUCUUCUAAUGGCCACAUCCCCAGGGCUGAAGUUAAGUCAUUUUUUAUUAAAAAUUCACAGAAGAGUGACUCCAAAGGGGAAGUAGUCCCUUCCAGUACAAACACUGUACAGGUGAAGUAAUUAUUUUCUUAUUUAGUAGCUACUGUGCCUUAGUUCUACCCAUAAAGUGUACUACUUCUGCACUAACUGGAUAGGUGUACCAUAAGUCGAGAAAGUUAGUUUUAAAAAAUGAUGGAAAGAAACUCACAAAAAAUGUGGAUCUUUAUGAACUUUAAUGAAGUGAUAAAAAAUAACACUGACAAUAAAUGUGUAUGAACAAUUAUUUUACAAAAAAAACACAUAAAGAAUUAAUCAUACCUGAUUACCGUUAUAGCAGUACAGAAUUUGCAUAUAGUAGGCUAAUGGUUGAAAUCCAUUUGAGAUUAUUAUUUAUUCUUACACCUGAAUAUGUGUUUUACUAUAACAGAUAGAAGUUAAUAAAUCCUCCAAAAAUUCUUGCA